GAGAGUAUAGUUCAGUGGUAGAAUGUGUGCUUAGCAUGCAUGAGGCCCUGGGUUCAGUCCCCAGUACUUCCU
rnacentral:tRNA from 1 species